AACCAGCCUAUUAAUAGCUAAUGUUGCCCACUAUAGCCUGUCUAUAAAAACUCUGCAAUCCCUUUGUUCAGGGCUCAGAGCUUGGAGCGUUAACUCUUCUGGGCCUGCCGGCGUAAUAAACCUGAGUUCUCCAACUCUCUGAGUGUGGUGCUUGGUUUCUCGAGUACUAGUUUCUGCAACAAUAACAGGCUUCUCAGGUUAACCAGUGGUAGUAAACUGAAGAUGACGUGCGGAGGAAUCUUCUUGUGCUCUAACUCCGUAAGAGGUCACUACUGCUGAGUUGGAAAUGUAAUCACACUUCUGCUGUGUGCUGAGUUUUACCUCUGAGGGAAAGGACGGACAUCUGCCGCCAGGCACAUGAGCCCUUGAUAUCAGUAAUAAGUAAUUUCAAACAUAAAGUCAGCUUUUCAAUGGGCUAGCCAAUGUACACUUUUCCUAUCAUGUUACCAUGUAAUUUCCAUGUAGGAUUCUCUUUUCUAACAACUGGGCAUCACUGAGACAUAAUGAACUUUAGGUAUUUUUCCUCUUUGUUUUCCUCUUGGGUCAGCUGCUUACAUAGUUAUUCUUGGGGUCACAGUUAUCAAAUGAAGUGACAGCUUUAGUAGCCAAAAUCAAUGUCCCAGGACUCGGAGAAGGACCACAAUUUAAAGAAUUAUGAGUGGGUAUUUGAAAAUGACUUUCUCUUCAUCAGCAUAUGAAUACUCUCGAUUUUUUCUUGUGUUUUUAUUUUUUUGAGGAAGCUGGGGAGGAGCUGUAAUGUACGGGGCUCUUGCCUUACAUAUGAACUUAUGGCUACUUGCUCUCAAACAACCAGACAGAAAUAACCGAAGAUUAAUAAAUGCUGCUCAAUUUCACGGUGGUUGUUUUGGGGCAAGUUCUUCCUCGCUGGAUUUUCAGUCGCACACCGCAGCUGCAAGCUUAAAAUGAAAGGCUUUUCAAGUUCACCUCUUAGCCCCUGUAAUAUUUCAGCUAAGCCUGCCUGAGGACUUCCUUGCUUUCUUUCUUUGAUGGAAAUAAUAAACUACAAUGAGUUUGCAAUAACAGCUAUCGUUCCCACCACCAUCUUAUUUCCAAGAAGUGGAACAAUAGCUCCUUAUACUGCUGAGAAUGAGCCCCUCCAGAACAGAAGCAGUGCACACUGAGAAGCUGGAAUGGGGCUUUCUUCACACCAAGUGCCAUGAGGGUCACGGAAAGACAUCUUGACAUCGAGUUGCCAUGGAUGCAUUGCAAUGUUGUAGUGAUGCUCCUCUCUCUCGGCAAGUGGUUAAUAUGCUCUCCAAUUAACACGUCGGAAAGCAAGGCAACUGUGUUCACAGAUCAUCUGGGGUUCCCGAGACCCCUCUACAUCCAUUCCCCCACCAUUGCUGGCUCGGCCAGAAAGAAGAUAAAUUAAUCUUUUGCCAUUUUGUGAUCUAUCCUGUUUCAUUUUUUUUAAAAGAAAAAACUUUUUCUUUUACAUUGGAGUACAGUUGAUUAACAAUGUUGUGUUAGUUUUAGGUUGAGGGCACAGUGAUUUCGUUAUGCCUGUACAUGGAUCUAUUCUUUUUCAAAUUCCUUUCCCAUUCAAGAUGCUACAUAAUAUCGAGCAGAGUUCCCUGGGCUAUACAGUAGGUCCUUCAUUUUUAUGCCCAUUUCUGUCAUUUUAUGAUUACAAUAUCUCUCAAUGAGAGAGACCGCUUGUUCAAAAGACCAGGUCUAUGAAGGAGGGGUCAGUUGUUAGUGUGAAAUGAGACUCAGACAUGGAAAUUUCCUACAGGUCACAAAGGAAACUGUCUUUCCUCAUACUCCUGCUGAGACUGCUGGAACUACAAGUCCAUGAUAUUAAGUGCUGACCACAGUACCAUGAUGGAGGGGUGGAGCUACCGCUGGGUGUGGGGUCAGGGCUGGGAGAUCAGAGAGCAGUCACACCAUCACUGGGGUGCAAGGCCACCAGGUAGAUGCUCAGAGGUGGCAGCUUCUGUUGGCUUUUUACUCCUCGAAGAGGCAUGCAUGCUCUCUAAGUCUGGGGGGAUAGCUAUUAUCUAUAUAGAAUCAUCUAAUCUGGGCCGUGGAGGUGAGCCUCUUGGAAUAAUGCCUGAAUGCAUUUCUCUGUGUGGGUUGUCCCAUCCUAAAGGAAUUGAAGGAAAAUUGUGGGCUGGAGUCAUGUAUGGAUGUGAGAGUUGGAUUAUAAAGAAAGCUGAGUGCUGAUGAAUUGAUGCUUUUGAACUGUGGUGUUGGAGAAGACUCUUGAGAGUCCCUUGGAC
ensembl:lncRNA